rnacentral:misc_RNA from 1 species
UUGAAUAAACUUGCACAGGUUGUUGCUGGCCUCCCGAGGUAUGCGUGCACGCUUGUCAUCUUUAUUUCUCCCAACUGUGCACAUAUUGUAGACCUGAACGAAUUUUGAAAUAUCUUUUUCGAGUUUGGACUGCUGUGCUUUCACAGCUUUGCCUUGUGUUUCCAGGUCUAUGUCAUUUUCACAACCUCUUUGUAAUAAAUGAAUGUUGAAAUUACAUAUAAAUCAUA